CCGACCUUAGCUCUGUUGGUAUAGCGGAGGACUGUAGAUCCUUAGGUCACUGGUUCGAAUUC
rnacentral:tRNA from 1 species